rnacentral:rRNA from 1 species
AUUGAACGCUGGCGGCAUGCUUUACGCAUGCAAGUCGAACGGUAACAGGCCUUCGGGUGCUGACGAGUGGCGAACGGGUGAGUAAUGCAUCGGAACGUGCCCAAUCGUGGGGGAUAACGUAGCGAAAGUUACGCUAAUACCGCAUAAGCCCUGAGGGGGAAAGUGGGGGACCGCAAGGCCUCACGCGAAUGGAGCGGCCGAUGUCAGAUUAGCUAGUUGGUGGGGUAAAGGCCCACCAAGGCGACGAUCUGUAGCGGGUCUGAGAGGAUGAUCCGCCACACUGGGACUGAGACACGGCCCAGACUCCUACGGGAGGCAGCAGUGGGGAAUUUUGGACAAUGGGCGCAAGCCUGAUCCAGCCAUGCCGCGUGCGGGACGAAGGCCUCGGUUGUAACCGCUUCUAGCGAACGAAUACGCCGGUUUUAAUUACUAGACGGUGGAGUGACGGUACCGGAAC